CUGUGAAAAGACCAACAGCUGUUACUGAGCUAAGAAGAACUAAAGGAUUUACAGUAGGUGGUACCACCUUACCUAAACCAGAGAGGAGAAUUAGAGUCCAGUCUCCAUGGCCCAAUGCAGGACGCUCUGACAGACAAGCCAUACUCUGAAGUGUGACACUGACUGGACAACAUGGAGCAAAAACAUGUUCAAGCCAUUGCUCAGUCAUCUGUUUCUCAAGCCAGAAAAUAUAGAAAACUGAGGAAUUAGAUUGAUGCGGUCCCAUUUUAUAAAACCAAUUAAAGCCUUUUAGUAAUUUUGGAUUUCCAGUAAAGUUUGGAUUUACAAUUUA